UGGCUCAGAGGUUAAAGCGUCUGCCUCCGAUGCGGGAGACCCAGGUUCGAUCCCUGG
rnacentral:tRNA from 1 species